rnacentral:rRNA from 1 species
UAAUACGUAGGCAGCAAACGUUGUUCGGAAUUACUGGGCGUAAAGAGUGUGUAGGCGGUUUUGCAAGUUUGGUGUGAAAUCUCCCGGCUUAACUGGGAGGGUGCGCCGAAAACUGCAAGGCUCGAGUACUGGAGAGGAAAGCGGAAUUCCUGGUGUAGCGGUGAAAUGCGUAGAUAUCAGGAGGAACACCGGUGGUGUAGACGGCUUUCUGGACAGUCACUGACGCUGAGACACGAAAGCGUGGGGAGCAAACAGG